CCUACGGGAGGCAGCAGUGAGGAAUCUUCGGCAAUGGGCGCGAGCCUGAAGCAGCCAAGUAGCGUGAAGGAUGGAUGCCCUACGGGUUGUAAACUUCUUUUAUCAGGGAAUAAUGUGCAGCACGUGUGCCUUUUUGUAUGUACUUUCUUGAUUAGAAUCGGCUAACUCCGUACGUGCAGCCACGGUAGUACGGAGGAUCCGAGCGGUAUCCGUAUGGAUUGGGUUAAAAGGAAGCGUAGAGGGGUUGUUAAGUCAGUUGUGAAAGUUUGCGGCUAAACCGGAAAAUUGCAAUUGAUACUGGCAGCCUUGAGGAAAGUUGAGGGAGGCGGAAUUCGUGGUGUAGAGGUGAAAUGCUUAGAUAUCACGAAGAACUCAGAGUGCGAAGGCAGCUUACUAAACGGACACUGACAUUGAUGCUCGAAAGGGUGGGUAUCAAACAGGAUUAGAUACCCUAGUAGU
rnacentral:rRNA from 1 species